rnacentral:tRNA from 1 species
GGGGAUAUAGCUCAGUUGGCUAGAGCGCCAGCUUUGCAAGCUGGAUGUCGUCGGUUCGAGCCCGAUUAUCUCCA